UGCAAGUCGAGGGAGAAAUUGUUUUUCGGAAUAAUGGAAACCGGCGCACGGGUGAGUAACGCGUACACUACCUACCUUAUACUGGGGAAUAGCCUUUGGAAACGGAGAGUAAUACCCCAUAGUCCCCGCCGCAAGGCGGGGUAAAGCUCCGGCGGUAUAAGAUGGGUGUGCGUCCCAUUAGCUUGUUGGUAAGGUAACGGCUUACCAAGGCUACGAUGGGUAGGGGGCGUGAGAGCGUGACCCCCCACACGGGUACUGAGACACGGACCCG
rnacentral:rRNA from 1 species